AGGAGGGUGGAGGAUUAAGGCUCUUUGGAGCACAGGCAUUGGCUCCACAGGCCUUUUGUUGUCAUCAGUGUGUGACACAGUUUCUGUAUUCCUUAAGUGGUUAACCUUUGUAAAUAUUGUUUUAAUUUCUGGUUAAUGCCGUCCGUAGUAGAGGUGCUUGUGACUUUUGGGUGUUCCUCAGAGUGGUGUGUUCAGAGUCACUGGAACCAGUCAGGCACAUGGGUGCAAUCCUCACAGCACAGCACCUGUUUGAACUUGUUUGUGACAUGAGCCUGUCACUAAAUGCACAUUGCAUGGAGGGAGGGUUUUGUGCUGAGGUUUUGUGCUCUCACCACUUCUUCAGUUAAUGAAAAAACCAGGAUCAAAGAGCUCAGUAUAAUGAACAGCAUUGCAUGGAGACGAGAUCAGCAUAUGUUUAUUGAAGUUAGAAGAACUUACGCCCUAUCUUUUAUGUUAGGAGGAAUAAUGGCACUGUCAUUAUGUCUUAAAUCUUCCUAUUUUGCAACACAAUGUGUUCAAUGGGCUCUUUGAUAAAAUAUAGCUUCAUGCUAAAAAUAAAAAGUAAAGGGUAUUCACUUGGUCAACUUAAAUAUUUAACAUUUUGGAAAAUCCUAACCAUGUUAUUAAGUGUCACAUUGAACUCCUUGAUUUGGUCUGUUUUGCUCUGUUCCUUGUUUUGAUCUAAUUCUUACAUUGCUCUUUCCAUCUAUUUUGUUUUCAUUAUAAAGGUACCUGAGGGAUCAUAGCGGGAAAUGUCACAAGAGGUGAAAGAGGUUUUCAAAAAACCCAACCUGCUCUUUGAACUCUUGCAAUCCCUGUGCCCACACAGGAGCAUUUGGAAAUGUAUUGGGUCAUUCAUUUGGGCUUAUGGCAGGCUGAAAGCCAUUGUUUUCUGGCAAAGAAAAGCAGAUAAAUAAUUAAGUACAAACUUUGGAAUUAUACAUUAAUUUUUAAACAACUAUUCAUCAUUGGUCAGAUUUGGUGUGGGAAAAAUGAUAGGCUGCCUGUCUGAAAAAUAAACCUCACCUUCAUAGAGUUGUGUGGAGAGAUAAUGCUUAAUGUAAAUCAUAGAAUUGUAAAAUAACUGUGUUUUUGCUGACUAAGCUGACCUUCAGAGAGGCCUGAACAAAAUUCCCUGGGCACAGAUGGCUCCUGGGCUGGGAAGCAGCAAUCACACCUCAUAAAUCCACACAGCAAUGAAGAUACUGCUCAUUAACUUUUGUGCAGCACCAUAAAGCUUGUUUACUUAAGGAAUCUGAGAGGGCAAAGAAAGCUAAAUGGAGCCCAGCCCCUCCUGAGGAGGGUGGCACACACCUUCCCACCACUCACUCCCUGCCCUUGCCUGGUUCCCUGACCUGCAAGGUGAGUUUGCCAAGAGCAUCCAUCAUUCUGACAUAAAGAGAUGCUUGUUUA